CUAUUAGAGUUCAUUCACACAUUGAAGAGUUACAUACAGGUCUCACUCCUUAUCUUUUUAACUUCCCCACCUGUGUUUUCAUGGACAGUUAAUUGUGUUCAUCAGCUCGGUGUGCCGGAAGAGCUACAGACUUCCCCAGUUCUUGUUCGACAUCAACCUGGGAGUAUUCCUUGACUAAGUCGUUCAGCUCUUGGCAGAACAAUCAGAUUCCCUAUUGUACCCCGAAGCUGGUCAAUCACAGCUGCACUCUUACACCACCCGCCUACAGCCUUUGUGUCUGUAACACAUCCACAAACGCUCUGGAAUAAACACAAAAUUUCUACGUUGCUCUGUUGAUCUCAGCAAUGCAGUGAAACAGGUCGGUCUCCUGCAUGGAGGAGGCAUCAUUUUCAAAAAUAUGCACAGGCAUCAGAAACAUAUGCAUCAUUCCCAAGACUUGGGAAGCUGACUUGAGCUGCUCAACAGACAUUUACAAAGUCAGGUCACAGAAUGGCUGCCAUACAACCUCGAUUUUCUGCAAGGCUCGCCAAGCUAAUCGUGAUUAGCUGCUACAGACAGAAGAUAGGGCCGGUGAAGAAAGUCCAAACAAUGGAGUCUAAUGUGAGACCACAAAGGCUUUCAUGUUGAGAAUGUAACCUCUUGUGAGAUAGAUUCAGCAGCCUCAAGCUUAGAAAACUCCAGGAAAGUUCUUCAGUUUCUCUGAGGAAGAGAUUGGCUGAGUGAAACCAUGUCAAAUAGGUGGAGCGAGUGACAUCUAAGUAAACACAGAUCCCCAGAUGGCUACCCACCGGCCUCCUGUCCCUGAAGCUCUCCUCCGAGUAGACAUUGCUUCAGAACAACUCUGGAGCCAACACUGACGUCAAACAAGAGUACAUGUGGAAUGACCCAUAGCUCCAGCUGCAUAUAUAGCAGAGGAUGGCAUUGUCUGGCAUCAAUAGAAGGAGAAGCCCUUGGUCCUGUGAAGACUGGAUGCUCCAGUGAAAUACAUCUUUGCCUUUGAACAAUACGAGGCCUAAGUGUCAUGUGACUUAGCAUCCUGGCUGCAUGUGUCAUGCAUAAUUUCCUUCACUUUAAUAGUACUGUGUUUAUUUUUAAAAGAAAAAGAACUAGAAAAUAUUAUCCUUAUAAAAGAGACACAUGGUAUGUACUCACU
rnacentral:sRNA from 1 species